rnacentral:rRNA from 1 species
GAGUUUGAUCCUGGCUCAGGAUGAACGCUGGCGGCGUGCUUAACACAUGCAAGUCGAACGGAGAUGUACGCUGAAGAAGCUUCGGUGGAUUCUUGUGCAUCUUAGUGGCGGACGGGUGAGUAACGCGUGGGCGACCUGCCUCACACAGGGGGAUAACAGCCAGAAAUGGCUGCUAAUACCGCAUAAGCGCACAGUGCUGCAUGGCACAGUGUGAAAAACCGAGGUGGUGUGAGAUGGGCCCGCGUCUGAUUAGCUUGUUGGCGGGGUAACGGCCCACCAAGGCAACGAUCAGUAGCCGGCUUGAGAGAGUGGACGGCCACAUUGGAACUGAGACACGGUCCAAACUCCUACGGGAGGCAGCAGUGGGGAAUAUUGCACAAUGGGGGAAACCCUGAUGCAGCGACGCCGCGUGAGUGAAGAAGUAUUUCGGUAUGUAAAGCUCUAUCAGCAGGGAAGAUAAUGACGGUACCUGACUAAGAAGCCCCGGCUAACUACGUGCCAGCAGCCGCGGUAAUA